rnacentral:rRNA from 1 species
AGCGAACGCUGGCGGCAGGCUUAACACAUGCAAGUCGAGCGGGCACUUCGGUGUCAGCGGCAGACGGGUGAGUAACACGUGGGAACGUACCCUUUGGUUCGGAAUAACGCUGGGAAACUAGCGCUAACACCGGAUACGCCCUUUUGGGGAAAGGCUUGCUGCCGAAGGAUCGGCCCGCGUCUGAUUAGCUAGUUGGUGGGGUAAUGGCCUACCAAGGCGACGAUCAGUAGCUGGUCUGAGAGGAUGAUCAGCCACACUGGGACUGAGACACGGCCCAGACUCCUACGGGAGGCAGCAGUGGGGAAUAUUGGACAAUGGGCGCAAGCCUGAUCCAGCCAUGCCGCGUGAGUGAUGAAGGCCUUAGGGUUGUAAAGCUCUUUUGUCCGGGACGAUAAUGACGGUACCGGAAGAAUAAGCCCCGGCUAACUUCGUG